rnacentral:rRNA from 1 species
UGGGGAAUCUUGCACAAUGGGGGCAACCCUGAUGCAGCGACGCCGCGUGAGUGAUGAAGCCCUUCGGGGUGUAAAGCUCUUUCGGCAGGAAAGAUGAUGACGGUACCUGCAGAAGAAGCUGCGGCUAACUACGUGCCAGCAGCCGCGGUAAUACGUAGGCAGCGAGCGUUGUUCGGAGUUACUGGGCGUAAAGAGUGCGUAGGUGGUUUUCUAAGUUUGGUGUGAAAUCUCCCGGCUUAACUGGGAGGGUGCGCCGAAAACUGGGAGACUGGAGUGUGGGAGAGGAAAGCGGAAUUCCUGGUGUAGCGGUGAAAUGCGUAGAUAUCAGGAGGAACACCUGCGGUGUAGACGGCUUUCUGGACCACUACUGACACUGAGGCACGAAAGCGUGGGUAGCAAACAGGAUUAGAUACCCCCGUAGUCC